CUUUCCCGCGCGACCGGCGAGGGAGGAAGAAGCGCGAAGAGCCGUUAGUCAUGCCGGUGUGGUGGCGGCGGCGGAGACUGCGGGCCCGUAGCUGGGCUCUGCGAGGUGCAAGAAAGCCUUUGAGGUGAAGGUGUAUGAAAGUCAUCAUAACAGAUGUUUUCCAAAAACUUGUAGAAGGUUGUGAAAAAACUACUAGGAUCACGCGGCAUGUAUUGAGGGUGAAUAUUCUUUGUUUUUAGCAUAUAGGUUGCUGUAGAUGAAUGUUCUUAGCUGUCAUGUUUAAAAAUACUUCUGCUUCGUUACCUCAAGUGUGGCAUGCAGCAUUUUGGAAGGAAAAUUGAAGACGUGUUCAAGAAAACAUGAACAGAAGCAAAUGAUGAAAAUGAGCAUUUUACUUGAUGUUGAUAACAUCACAAUAAAUUAUGGAGAAAAAUACAUAUUUGGCUAACUUUUAAUUGCUGAACAAUAAAGUGUUUUCUUUUAAAUCAACUC
rnacentral:lncRNA from 1 species